AUGGCCAUACCUAGGCGAAAACACCAGUUCCCGUCCGAUCACUGCAGUUAAGCGUCUGAGGGUCUCGUUAGUUCAGUACUGUGGUUGGAGACAAUAUGGGAAUCCGGGAUGCUGUAGGAUUCC
rnacentral:rRNA from 1 species